rnacentral:rRNA from 1 species
GAUCCUGGCUCAGAUUGAACGCUGGCGGAAUGCUUUACACAUGCAAGUCGAACGGUAGAGGGGGCAACCCCUCGAGAGUGGCGAACGGGUGAGUAAUAUAUCGGAACGUGCCCAGUCGUGGGGGAUAACGUAGCGAAAGUUACGCUAAUACCGCAUACGAUCUACGGAUGAAAGCGGGGGAUCGCAAGACCUCGCGCGAUUGGAGCGGCCGAUAUCAGAUUAGGUAGUUGGUGGGGUAAAGGCUCACCAAGCCAACGAUCUGUAGCUGGUCCUGAGAGGACGACCAGCCACACUGGAACUGAGACACGGUCCAGACUCCUACGGGAGGCAGCAGUGGGGAAUUUUGGACAAUGGAUGCAAGUCUGAUCCAGCCAUUCCGCGUGCAGGAUGAAGGCCCUCGGGUUGUAAACUGCUUUUGUACGGAACGAAAAGGUUUCCAUUAAUACUGGGAGCUCAUGACGGUACCGUAAGAAUAAGCACCGGCUAACUACGUG